CCAUAGUUCAAUUGGAUAGAGCGUCUGGCUUCGAACCAGAAUGUUGCGAGUUCGAAUCUUGCUGG
rnacentral:tRNA from 1 species